ACGCUGGCGGCGCGCCUAAUACAUGCAAGUCGAGCGAGAAGGUGUAGCAAUACACUUGUAAAGCGGCGAACGGGUGAGGAAUACAUGGGUAAUCUACCAUCGAGUGGGGAAUAACCAACCGAAAGGUUGGCUAAUACCGCGUACGCCUCCGAGUCUUCGGGUUCGGAGGGAAAGCUGCACUGUGAGUGUAGCGCUCUUUGAUGAGCUCAUGUCCUAUCAGCUUGUUGGUAGGGUAACGGCCUACCAAGGCUUUGACGGGUAGCUGGUCUGAGAGGACGAUCAGCCACACUGGCACUGCGACACGGGCCAGACUCCUACGGGAGGCAGCAGUAAGGAAUAUUGCGCAAUGGGCGAAAGCCUGACGCAGCGACGCCGCGUGGGGGAUGAAGGUCUUCGGAUUGUAAACCCCUUUCGGGAGGGAAGAUGGAACGAGCAAUCGUUCGGACGGUACCUCCAGAAGCAGCCACGGCCAACUUCGUG
rnacentral:rRNA from 1 species